CCUACGGGAGGCAGCAGUGAGGAAUAUUGGUCAAUGGACGGAAGUCUGAACCAGCCAUGCCGCGUGCAGGAAGACGGCUCUAUGAGUUGUAAACUGCUUUUGUACAAGGGUAAACCUGAAUACGUGUAUUCAGCUGAAAGUACUGUACGAAUAAGGAUCGGCUAACUCCGUGCCAGCAGCCGCGGUAAUACGGAGGGUCCAAGCGUUAUCCGGAUUUAUUGGGUUUAAAGGGUGCGUAGGCGGAUUGGUAAGUUUGAGGGGAAAUGUCCGGGCUCAACUCCGGAACUGCCUCUAAUACUGUGUAACUAGAGAGUAGGUGCGGUAGGCGGAAUGUAUGGUGUAGCGGUGAAAUGCUUAGAGAGC
rnacentral:rRNA from 1 species